GAUAUACAGAUAGAUACGCGAUGAAGAGACCUCUCUCUAUAUAGUACCUUUUUGUUGGUAUACCUUAUCCAGGUUACCUGUUCUCGAGUGCCACACGAUCAGUUCAGUUUAGUACAAACGAUCGUAGUGAUCAGUUGUUGGGUUAAAAACAAAAACUUAAAAAAAGAUACUUUUGUAUCUUUAACAUUUUUCUUUUAAAAAAUAACUAACUGAGUGUUCUAAGACUUGUAAUUAUAUAACUCGCGAUUAAAAUAAGACUAAAAAAAAGUGAUCUUGAAAAGAUAUGCUAACUAAAAGUGCUAAUUAAGAUAGCCUGACUUUUGAUGACGUUUUUUUUUUUUGAAUCGCUAUCUUUGUGUUCCUUCACUUUUAUAAGAGAUAUCUCCUCGAAUCCGGAGUUUGGCGAUAUUUGCUAAAAGAAGUUUGGAAAUUUAUGAAAACCGAUCAUGAACCGAUCGGCAUAAAAUUGGUUAUUGAACCUGAAAGUCCGAAAUCGGAGGAGGCUCACCGGAGGCAUACAGAUUUUUUUUUUUUAUAAAUUUUGGUUAUUGCCUUUUUGAGAGAAAUAUAAAAUAUUGGAACAGAACAGAAAAGAACCUUGAACAGUGUGUAACAUUCGUUCGCAUUUUUUAGAAAUAUAUAUCUAUAUCUUCUAAAUGGAUAUUUUGAGUAAUUCGAUAUUAUGCCGAAAAGUGAUCGUGUAGCGAUUUUUAUAAAGUGUAUGAAUACAAUUUUCAAAAAUAUGUAAUAAUUCGUAAGAAGCUCCCGAUACCGCCGCCGCCGACGCUGCUGAUUGGAAAGCAAAAUAAAAAUCUUGAAAUAUGAUCAAAGUUGAAAGGAGUUGGAAUUUAUGCGGUAGGCGCACAAACUACGGCAACGGACAACACGACCACGACCAAUUUGCUGGCUAAAUGAAAACUAGACACUUCUAAUGAGCCAUUGAUUCACAGACAAACAAACAUCGAAAAAAUACACAGAAAACAUUCAUUUCAAGAAUCAGCAGCUGUCGCAUGCCAUCGACAUGAACAUUGAUGUCAAUCAGAUACUUCUCAGGAGGCAGGCAGGAAGAAAAAAACUAAACUGGACUGAAUGGUUGAGUUAGGAAAGAAAAAGAAAAAGAAAAAGUCCAAACAGGAACCAGGAGGAACUGGAAGUGUAGAUUCUCGAAGGAUUUAUAGCUUCUGGUCGCCAACAGUUGACGUCGUCGUCACAAGGCAAGUGGAAGAUGACAAAAGUAAGAAAAAAUGAGUAAACAUUAAAAAACUAUCUUGAAACUAGAUUGACUUUAGAUUGGAUUGUAGCGUAAAUUUAUUUAUUGAUUUAUUUAUGUUAGUACACUGUUUCGUUUCUGUUUUAUGAAAAUUUAAUGACUUAAGAAAAAGAUAAAGUUUAUAAUAAUUUAUCGAUAUAGAAUAUUGAUAAACGCACCUAUGUUAGAAAAAAAUUAAUGAAAUACUAGAAGAUAUCGAGGUAUUUCCUACUGUUGACAGCAGUUUUUGUCAUUUCUGCAGAGGUACAAAUAUCAGAUAAUUUAGAAGAAAUGCUGGAGACAUAAGUGUUUUAUUAACUUGGCGCUGUUUUUCUUGUUCUAAAGUGGUAAUUAAACACUUGUCAGCUCACAGAAAUUUGCAUAAUUUCACAACUACUGAUCAAAGUACAUACAUUUGUUCGUAAGUUAAUUGAUAAAAAAAUGAUAUUCCGUCAUCGACUAAACUUGCAAAUUACCUAAUCCAGGUGUUUGGCUAGCUAAAAACACAUUACCUAAAUUUUAACCGGAAAUACUAUAUUUUUCAUAAUUACUAUAAUUAUAUCCAUCAAAAAAAAAUAUUUAAAUUGCUUUAAUACCAUUAUGUCAAUUUUAAUCUAGUUUUUCAUUUUUUUUCUUUUCUGAUUCACUGAUACUGGAUAUUUGAACAAUUAAGUUUUUUUUUUAAUGACAUUUCAAUUAAUUAUUAUUAUUUUGAUUCGGUUCAUUUGAGUGUUUAAGUGUUUAAUGCAGUUGAACUAAUUGAGAUUUGAAUAGAUUUAAAAAUGGAAGUGGUUACAAAUAUUCAAGUGGUUAGGUACUUAGAUUGUUAGGAUUUAUUUUUCAAUCCAAUUGUAUCCAUAAAUAGAUUUAAAUAGUUAUUAAAUUUUAA